AUUGAACGCUGGCGGCAGGCCUAACACAUGCAAGUCGAGCGGAGCGGCGGACGGGUGCGUAAUGACUAGGAAUCUGCCUGGUAGUGGGGGAUAACGUCCGGAAACGGGCGCUAAUACCGCAUACUAUCAGAUGAGCCUCUGGCGGAUUAGCUAGAUGGUGGGGUAAAGGCCCACCAAGGCGACGAUCCGUAACUGGUCUGAGAGGAUGAUCAGUCACACGGGAACUGAGACACGGUCCAGACUCCUACGUGAGGCAGCAGUGGUGAAUAUUGGACAAUGGGCGCAAGCCUGAUCCAGCCAUGCCGCGUGGGUGAAGAAGGCCUUCGGGUUGUAAAGCCCUUUUGUUGGGAAAGCGGUACCCAAAGAAUAAGCACCGGCUAACUACGUGCCAGCAGCCGCGGUAAUUC
rnacentral:rRNA from 1 species